UACGAAGGGGGCUAGCGUUGCUCGGAAUCACUGGGCGUAAAGGGUGCGUAGGCGGGUCUUUAAGUCAGGGGUGAAAUCCUGGAGCUCAACUCCAGAACUGCCUUUGAUACUGAAGAUCUUGAGUUCGGGAGAGGUGAGUGGAACUGCGAGUGUAGAGGUGAAAUUCGUAGAUAUUCGGAAGAACACCAGUGGCGAAGGCGGCUCACUGGUCCGGUACUGACGCUGAUGUGCGAAAGCGUGGGAGCAACAGG
rnacentral:rRNA from 1 species